CACGUAGUUAGCCGUCCCUUUCUGGUAAGAUACCGUCACAGUGUGAACUUUCCACUCUCACACCCGUUCUUCUCUUACAACAGAGCUUUACGAUCCGAAAACCUUCUUCACUCACGCGGCGUUGCUCGGUCAGGGUUCCCCCAUUGCCGAAGAUUCCCUACUGCUGCCUCCCGUAGGAGUCUGGGCCGUGUCUCAGUCCCAGUGUGGCCGAUCACCCUCUCAGGUCGGCUAUGUAUCGUCGCCUUGGUGAGCCGUUACCUCACCAACUAGCUAAUACAACGCAGGUCCAUCUGGUAGUGAUGCAGUUGCAUCUUUCAAUUAAUUAUCAUGCAAUAAUCAAUUUUAUGCGGUAUUAGCUAUCGUUUCCAAUAGUUAUCCCCCGCUACCAGGCAGGUUACCUACGCGUUACUCACCCGUUCGCAACUCAUCCAAGAAGAGCAAGCUCCUCUCUUCAGCGUUCUACUUGCAUGUAUUAGGCACGCCGCCAGCGUCG
rnacentral:rRNA from 1 species